AUUUUGAUCUUUUAACUGCAAAUAAGAUACGUGUUGGUCUUUCCUUGUUUCUGCGCAUCUGUCAGAGUUGAAAACAGCAAUGUGAAUGACUCUCAGUGUAAAUGAUUUAUUUAAUUUUAUUUAGGUUAAAUGUUGCAUCUGCUCAGCGGAGUUGUCUUUUACAAAUAAGAGCACUUCCUCAAAGCUGAGACAUUACAGAGUCAAGCAUGAAAACGAAGAGGAAGCAAAUACACCAAGACCGAACACAGAAUCUAGGAAGAUUGCUCUGGACCAAGCAGUCCUGAAUUUUAUUAUAAAGGACUGCCAACCCCUGAGCAUUGUGGAGAGUGAGGGGUUCAGGGGGUUGAUUCAGGUCCUUGAUCCAUCUUACGCUUUGCCAACCAGAAAGACGGUUAAGGAAAUGAUGGCCAAAAGACAUGCGGAGGAACUCGAACGAGUAAAGAGGGAAGUACAGCAAGCUGUGGCAGUGAGUAUAACAGCUGACAUGUGGACCUCCUUGAACAUGGAGGCUUACUUAGCUCUUACCUGUCACUACAUCAAUGAUAACAUGCAGUUGUGUACAUCUGUGUUGGGAGUCUAACACUUUCCACAAAG